CGGGGGGAGCAAGCGUUGUUCGGAUUUACUGGGCGUAAAGGGCGCGUAGGCGGCCUCUGCAAGUCGACUGUGAAAUCUCCGGGCUUAACCCGGAACGGUCAGCCGAUACUGCAGGGCUAGAGUGCAGAAGGGGCAACUGGAAUUCUCGGUGUAGCGGUGAAAUGCGUAGAUAUCGAGAGGAACACCUGCGGCGAAGGCGGGUUGCUGGGCUGACACUGACGCUGAGGCGCGAAAGCUAGGGGAGCGGACGGGAUUAGAUACCCCGGUAGUCCUAGCCUUAAACGAUGAAUGCUUGGUGUCUGGGGUUUUAUAGUCCCCGGGUGCCGUCGCUAACGCUUUAAGCAUUCCGCCUGGGGAGUACGGUCGCAAGACUG
rnacentral:rRNA from 1 species